rnacentral:rRNA from 1 species
AAUGAACGUUGGCGGCGUGGAUUAGGCAUGCAAGUCGAGCGAGAACCGUAGCAAUACGGGGACAGCGGCGAAAGGGAGAGUAAUACGUGGAUACCUACCCUCGGGUUCGGGAUAGCUGCGGGAAACUGCAGGUAAUACCGAAUAACAUCUCCGGAUCAAAGGUGUGAUUCCGCCCGGGGAGGGGUCCGCGUCCUAUUAGCUUGUUGGUGAGGUAACGGCUCACCAAGGCGAAGAUGGGUACGGGGUGUGAGAGCAUGCCCCCGCUCACUGGGACUGAGACACUGCCCAGACACCUACGGGUGGCUGCAGUCGAGAAUCUUCGGCAAUGGGCGCAAGCCUGACCGAGCGACGCCGCGUGCGAGAUGAAGGCCUUCGGGUUGUAAAUCGCUGUCAGUGGGGAGGAAAUGCCAUAGGGUUCUCUCUAUGGUUUGACCUAUCCGCAGAGGAAGGAUGGGCUAAGUUCGUGCCAGCCGCCGCCGUAA